rnacentral:misc_RNA from 1 species
GUGAAUUAAACAUGCUUGGUGUCUUCGCUUCGGCAAGGCCCGUGCUUAAAUCACAUCCAACACCUGUGAACUGUAAGACGUAUGAUGAGGGAUCUUUGGCCAAGUCAUCGUCUGCCCAUUUUUAACAAACAAUUAAUGUACCAAACGUAGUCUUAUUAUAACCUAAUA